GGGGGCUGUGCCCCCCCCCCCUCAUCCACACUUUCAGGCUGGACCCUCCCCAUCUCCAUCCCUGCCUUUCCUCCCUGGUGCUCUGACCUACAUCUUCCUUCUCCGGAUUGAAAUGAGACUGUGGAUUGACCUGGUUCUUGUUUUCUUCUAUUCUUGCUGUGACUGGUGACUGUAAUUAAAGGAGACCCUCUAAUUAUUAUAAUUGUCUUGUGAGAGCAAAUAAACAGAAGCACCA